rnacentral:tRNA from 1 species
GGGGGCAUAGCUCAGUGGUAGAGUGCAUGCUUACAUGCCCGAGGUCCUGGGUUCAAUCCCCAGCACCUCCA